CCUCUGUUGUUAGUAUUAUAGAUUGUUAAUGUUAAAUUAGUUAAUGAGAACGAUCCGAAAUUGCUAACUAAAGAAUUUGUGUGUUGUGUCAUAGGGAAAGCUGCUGGAGUAAUCUAUCUAGUGUCCAUCCCCACUUGAUUCAUUUCGUGCCAGCUGAUUGAAAGCGGCGUGACGAAUUCAAAUUUAGCUGCUGCGUCUCCGUGCUGUCUGCAAGCAAGCAAUUCAAUUGACUGUCGCUAGAUGGCGCGAGUAUCUUCAGGGGACCAAAUUCGGCCAUUUUGUUUUGUUCCUUGACGCAGCCGAAGUGGGAUGCCGGUCGUGACGUUUCGCAUGUGCAAAGAUGAUUUCAAUGCCAAUUUUGUCAAAUCAUCUAACUUGGACUUGAGUGCCUGUUCACAUUGCUGAAAUGGUUCGCCUCGUGUGUCUUGCUGCCUGUACCCAGUCGUACGUCUCGUCCCAUGCAAAAGCAAAAGUCCGCUGUUGGUUUACUUGUUGCAGCCAGAUGGUGAAAGGUGUGAUGAUGACUAAUUGAACCCUUGUAUGCAGCGUGUUGUUGCAGUGUUAUUCAGAAGUAGCUGUUCAGUGUGGCAGUAUCGAGAAAUAGCAUGAAGCAGUGAAGUUGCCAGUGAUAUCUGGGUUGCUGACUUUGAAAUUUUUCUCUGUUCUCAUUUGUGUGUUUCUUUUUUUUUGCUCUACCACUGAAUUCCUGUGUUACUGUUUUGAAAUCGUUUCAUCUGUCGUCUUUGGCGUUUUUACUUGUCCACAUGUGCAGUAUACGAUUGAGGCAACCUGUCCUAUGACAAGUUUGACUCAGCCGACAACUGCUAUAUUAAAUUCCGGCUUUCUGCACCAACAAAAUAAUAACGGCACAUGUUAUUAUCGCGGUUGGGAAAGUCACAGGCCCCCCCUGGG